GGGGAAUAUUGCACAAUGGGGGAAACCCUGAUGCAGCAAUGCCGCGUGAGUGAUGACGGCCUUCGGGUUGUAAAGCUCUGUCUUCAGGGACGAUAAUGACGGUACCUGAGGAGGAAGCCACGGCUAACUACGUGCCAGCAGCCGCGGUAAUACGUAGGUGGCAAGCGUUGUCCGGAUUUACUGGGCGUAAAGGGAGCGUAGGCGGAUUUUUAAGUGAGAUGUGAAAUACCCGGGCUUAACUUGGGUGCUGCAUUUCAAACUGGAAGUCUAGAGUGCAGGAGAGGAGAAGGGAAUUCCUAGUGUAGCGGUGAAAUGCGUAGAGAUUAGGAAGAACACCAGUGGCGAAGGCGCUUCUCUGGACUGUAACUGACGCUGAGGCUCGAAAGCGUGGGGAGCAAAC
rnacentral:rRNA from 1 species